rnacentral:rRNA from 1 species
GACGAACGCUGGCGGCGUGCUUAACACAUGCAAGUCGAACGGAAAGGCCCUGCUCUUGUGGGGUGCUCGAGUGGCGAACGGGUGAGUAACACGUGAGUAACCUGCCCCUGACUUUGGGAUAACUUCAGGAAACUGGGGCUAAUACCGGAUAGGAGCUCCUGCUGCAUGGUGGGGGUUGGAAAGUUUCGGCGGUUGGGGAUGGACUCGCGGCUUAUCAGCUUGUUGGUGGGGUAGUGGCUUACCAAGGCUUUGACGGGUAGCCGGCCUGAGAGGGUGACCGGCCACAUUGGGACUGAGAGACGGCCCAGUCGCCUACGGGAGGCAGCAGUGGGGAAUAUGGCACAAUGGGCGGAAGUCUGAGGCGGCAACGCCGCGUGCGGGAUGACGGGCUUUGGGUUGUAAACCGCUUUCGCCUGUGACGAAGCGUGAUUGACGGUAAUGGGUAAAGAAGCACCGGCUAACUACGUG